rnacentral:rRNA from 1 species
CGGGUGAGUAAUGUAUGGGGAUCUGCCUGAUGGCGGGGGAUAACUACUGGAAACGGUAGCUAAUACCGCAUAAUGUCUACGGACCAAAGCGGGGGACCUCCGGGCCUCGCGCCAUCAGAUGAACCCAUAUGGGAUUAGCUAGUAGGUAAGGUAACGGCUUACCUAGGCGACGAUCCCUAGCUGGUCUGAGAGGAUGAUCAGCCACACUGGGACUGAGACGCGGCCCAG